AUUGAACGCUGGCGGCAUGCUUUACACAUGCAAGUCGAACGGUAACAGGCCGCAAGGUGCUGACGAGUGGCGAACGGGUGAGUAAUGCAUCGGAACGUGCCCAGUCGUGGGGGAUAACGCAGCGAAAGCUGUGCUAAUACCGCAUACGAUCUAUGGAUGAAAGCGGGGGACCGUAAGGCCUCGCGCGAUUGGAGCGGCCGAUGUCAGAUUAGGUAGUUGGUGGGGUAAAGGCCUACCAAGCCGACGAUCUGGAGCUGGUCUGAGAGGACGACCCACCACACUGGGACUGAGACACGGCCGAGACUCCUACGGGAGGCAGCGUUGGGGAAUCUUGGACAAUGGGCGCAAGCCUGAUCCAGCAAUGCCGCGUGCAGGAAGAAGGCCUUCGGGUUGUAAACUGCUUUUGUACGGAACGAAACGGCCUGGGUUAAUACCCUGGGCUAAUGACGGUACCGUAAGAAUAAGCACCGGCUAACUACGUGCCAGCAGCCGCUGUAACAC
rnacentral:rRNA from 1 species